AUUUUUGUGGUUUUUUUUUUUCUAUGGCUAUCUCCUGGCAUUUGCUUUUAGUAUUUUUUUUCCCUUCCUAUUUGUUUUGAAUUGUAUAAAACUGUGCAUUUUGGGGUUAAAUUAGGAUAUAUUUCUUGAUUUCUUUAUGAUUGUGUAGAUUUAUUGAUUUUGUGUAAAUCUCUGUGCAAUUUACUUUUAUUAUUGGUUUCUCUUUGUAUGUAUGUGAUUGAGCAUAUGUUUGGGUACAUUAAGAGAAUACUGGUGGACUGAUAUAAAUAUGGAUUUAGUUGAAAGAGGAUAUAAGCAAAUAAUUGAUGUCUAAUUGUGGGUAAAGUGAGUGCAUUAUAUGCCAGUUAGGAUGUGUUGUAAUUGUUUGUUUUGUGUUUAUGCUUGCAGGGCCAGCAUUACUCCAGG
rnacentral:misc_RNA from 1 species